ACUCUUUUAGUAUAUAAAUAUAAUUGACUUCCAAUCAAUAGAUCUCACCUGAGAAAGAGUA
rnacentral:tRNA from 2 species